GACGAACGUUGGCGGCGUGCUUAAUACAUGCAAGUCAACUGAAGCAGUGGUAGCAAUAUCGCUGUGGAGGUGGCGCACGGGUGAGUAACACGUAGGUAAUCUGCCUUCAGGUCUGGCAUAACUCCGGGAAACCGGGGCUAAUAGCAGAUGAUGCAGCGGCUCGACAUCGAGACAGUUGUUAAAGCUAUGGCACCUGAAGAUGAGCCUGCGUCUGAUUAGCUAGUUGGCGGGGUAACGGCCCACCAAGGCAACGAUCAGUAGCUGGUCUGAGAGGAUGAUCAGCCACACUGGAACUGAGACACGGUCCAGACUCCUACGGGAGGCAGCAGUAAGGAAUAUUGCUCAAUGGGAGAAAUCCUGAAGCAGCAACGCCGCGUGAGGGACGAAGGGCUUUUGCUUGUAAACCUCUGUAGUGAGAGAAAAAAAUCCCAAUCUUUGGGACAUGAUGGUAUCUCAAAAGUAAGCCCCGGCUAACUACGUG
rnacentral:rRNA from 1 species